GAUGAACGCUGGCGGCGUGCCUAAUACAUGCAAGUCGAGCGAAAAGACGAGGAGCUUGCUCCUCUGACGUUAGCGGCGGACGGGUGAGUAACGCGUGGAUCACCUACCUAUCAGUGUGGGAUCUCUUCGGGACACCGGAGCUAAUACCGGAUAAUAUAUUGAUCCGCGUGGUGCGAUAGUGAAAGACGGUUUUGCUGUAACUUCUAGAUGGAUCCGCGCCGCAUUAGCUAGUUGGGAGGGUAACGGCUUAUCAAGGCGACGAUGCGUAGCCGACUGGACAGGCGGAUCGGCGACACUGGAGCGUAGACGCGCACCAGACUCCUACGGGAGGGAGCAGUAUGGAAUCUGCCGCAAUGGUGGAAAGCCUGACGGAGCAACGCCGCGUGAGUUAUGAAGGUCUUCGGAGCGUAAUACUCUGUUAUGGGUUAAGAACAAAUUUGGAAUUAACUAAGCACGGCUUGACGGUACUGAAUCAGAAAGCCACGGCUAACUACGUG
rnacentral:rRNA from 1 species